GGUGCCGUUGCGUUUUAUCGGAGCGGUCUUGAAAACCGUCGUGGUGAUGAGCCACCGUGGGUUCGAAUCCCACCCCCUCCGCCA
rnacentral:tRNA from 1 species